UCCUAGAAUAUAGAUUAGAUUUGGGCUAUAACAAUCAUUGAGCCAUCCGGCCCAUUUGCAAUCGUACCUAUGCGGAUGCAGUGCAUAUUUGGAUCAAGCACCAAACCAGGUUUUUACUGCAGUUGAUGGAGGUAAUGGUUAAUUCAGGUGUCUUAUUGCCUAUUUUCUCCCAACAGCCUGAGGAAAACCUCAACCACGGUACGUUCGUACAUGAAAAUUAUUUUUUCCAACAAGUCAUUUAUAGCAUCCGUAAAGAAAAGAUCCGAGGGAAACAACAAUAUUAAUUCGAGUCAACUUCAUUCACAUCGUGACAUUGCUGGAGGAAGGUUCACAGCAUCUGCCUGCAUGGAAGUUUGGGAAAAAGUCUACAAAUUAGCUUUUGGGAUUAAAUUGCCGUGUUACAUGCAAGUGUUGGACCAAUUCACAGCCGCUUUUUUCUUGCAAGUGACACCAUUUCACGGUUAGUCUUUUGAGCAGUUAUGGUUAGACCUUUAUAUUUGGAGCUUGAUGUGACUUUUAAGCGUGAGUAAGAUGUGGACAGGUUACUCAUGUCAACAGGGGAGUGCCAACGAAAUUUUAGGUGGUGGUC
rnacentral:lncRNA from 1 species